rnacentral:rRNA from 1 species
GAUGAACGCUAGCGGCAGGCCUAAUACAUGCAAGUCGAACGGUGUCUUCGGACAUAGUGGCGCACGGGUGCGUAACACGUAUGCAACCUACCUUACAUUGGGGGAUAGCCUUUCGAAAGGGAGAUUAAUACCGCAUAAGACAGUAGCUGGGCAUCCAGCAGCUGUUAAAGAUUUAUCAAUGUAAGCUGGGCAUGCGUCCAAUUAGCUAGUUGGUGAGGUAACGGCUCACCAAGGCAAUGAUUGGUAGGGGAACUGAGAGGUCAAUCCCCCACACUGGCACAGAGAUACGGGCCAGACUCCUGAGGGAGGCAGCAGUAGGGAAUAUUGGGCAAGGGACGCAGGUCUGACCCAGCCAUGCCGCGUGCAGGAUGAAGGCGUUAUGCGUUGUAAACUGCUUUUAUACAGGAGGAAACGACUCUUGCGAGAGGCAUUGACGGUACUGUAUGAAUAAGCACCGGCUAACUCCGUGCCAGCCGCCGCGGUAAGAC